AAUGAACGCUGGCGGCAGGCCUAACACAUGCAAGUCGAACGGAUCCUUCGGGAUUAGUGGCGGACGGGUGAGUAACGCGUGGGAACAUACCCUUUGGUACGGAAUAGCCUCGGGAAACUGGGAGUAAUACCGUAUGUGGUCGAGAGACGAAAGAUUUAUCGCCAAAGGAUUGGCCCGCGUUGGAUUAGGUAGUGGGUGGGGUAAUGGCCAACCAAGCCGACGAUCCAUAGCUGGUUUGAGAGGAUGAUCAGCCACACUGGGACUGAGACACGGCCCAGACUCCUACGGGAGGCAGCAGUGGGGAAUCUUAGACAAUGGGGGAAACCCUGAUCUAGCCAUGCCGCGUGAUCGAUGAAGGCCUUAGGGUUGUAAAGAUCUUUCAGGUGGGAAGAUAAUGACUGUACCACCAGAAGAAGCCCCGGCUAACUCCGUGCCAGCAGCCGCCGUAAUAC
rnacentral:rRNA from 1 species